rnacentral:rRNA from 1 species
UACGUAGGUGGCAAGCGUUGUCCGGAUUUACUGGGCGUAAAGGGCGUGCAGGCGGUUUGUUAAGUGCAGGGUGAAAGCUCCCGGCUCAACUGGGAGAGGUCCUUGCAUACUGGCAAACUCGAGGGAGGCAGAGGAUAGUGGAAUUCCCAGUGUAGUGGUGAAAUACGUAGAGAUUGGGAAGAACACCAGUGGCGAAGGCGGCUAUCUGGACGGUUUCUGACACUAAGACUCGAAAGCGUGGGGAGCAAACAGG